GUGGCAUCAUACCGGACAGCAUUAGACGUGGCGAUCAGCGGGCUCUAAUACUGUCUGGUAAUGAUGUUAAU
ncrna:Patiria miniata microRNA pmi-mir-200 precursor